CUCAUUCUCAUCACCAAUGUACAUUUAAAGGUCGAAAUCUGAAGCUCAUCAUCUUAUAUGCUAAGCUGUUUGUUGGAAAAAAUCAAGAAUUUAGGCUGUAAACCAAGAGAUGGGUGGUUUGAGCCGUGUUUUUCCCCCACGCUCCCGACGUCCUCAGCUAUAAGUUCCAUGAGCACAGCAGUAAUACAUCUGUCAACACUAAUUCCACUCACACAAUUCCACAGUGGACGAUGCGGCAUUCUGACCAGCUAG
rnacentral:lncRNA from 13 species